CGCCGAAGGAUGAGUGCUAGUGUUAGAGGGUUUCCGCCCUUUAGUGCUGAAGUUAACGCAUUAAGCACUCCGCCUGGGGAGUACGGCCGCAAGGCUGAAACUCAAAGGAAUUGACGGGGGCCCGCACAAGCGGUGGAGCAUGUGGUUUAAUUCGAAGCAACGCGAAGAACCUUACCAGGUCUUGACAUCCUCUGAAAACCCUAGAGAUAGGGCUUCUCCUUCGGGAGCAGAGUGACAGGUGCUGCAUGGUUGUCGUCAACUCCUGUCUUGAGAUGUUGUUUUCAG
rnacentral:rRNA from 1 species